rnacentral:rRNA from 1 species
GAGUUUGAUCCUGGCUCAGGAUGAACGCUAGCGGCAGGCUUCAUACAUGCAAGUCGAGGGGUAACAGGGAGUGCUUGCACUCCGCUGACGACCGGCGAACGGGUGCGUAACGCGUAUGCAACCUGCCUAUUACAGGGAGAUAGCCAAAAGAAAUUUUGAAUAAUAUCCCAUAAGAUCAUUUUAUUACAUGGUAUUAUGAUGAAAACUUCGGUGGUAAUAGAUGGGCAUGCGUCCUAUUAGUUUGUUGGUAAGGUAAUGGCUUACCAAGACUACGAUAGGUAGGGGUCCUGAGAGGGAGAUCCCCCACACUGGUACUGAGACACGGACCAGACUUCUACGGGAGGCAGCAGUAAGGAAUAUUGGACAAUGGAGGAAACUCUGAUCCAGCCAUGUCGCGUGCAGGAAGAAUGCCUUAUGGGUUGUAAACUGCUUUUUUAAAGGAAGAAAUACUCAUUCGUGAAUGGGUUUGACGGUACUUUAAGAAUAAGGAUCGGCUAACUCCGUGCCAGCAGCCGCGGUAAUACGGAGGAUCCAAGCGUUAUCCGGAAUGAUUGGGUUUAAAGGGUCCGCAGGCGGUUUGUUAAGUCAGAGGUGAAAUCCUACCGCUCAACGGUAGAACUGCCUUUGAUACUGGCAAACUUGAGUUAUUGUGAAGUAAUUAGAAUGUGUAGUGUAGCGGUGAAAUGCUUAGUUAUUACACAGAAUACCGAUUGCGAAGGCAGAUUACUAACAAUUAACUGACGCUCAGGGACGAAAGCGUGGGUAGCGAACAGGAUAGAUACCCUGGUAGUCCACGCCGUAAACUAUGGUCACUAGCUGUUUGGCAUGCAUUGGUAGGCUGAGUGGCUAAGCGAAAGUGAUAAGUGACCCACCUGGGGAGUACGCUCGCAAGAGUGAAACUCAAAGGAAUUGACGGGGGCCCGCACAAGCGGUGGAGCAUGUGGUUUAAUUCGAUGAUACGCGAGGAACCUUACCAGGGCUUAAAUGUAAGUUGCAUAGAUCAGAGAUGAUCUUUUNUUCGGNNUACUUACAAGGUGCUGCAUGGUUGUCGUCAGCUCGUGCCGUGAGGUGUCAGGUUAAGUCCUAUAACGAGCGCAACCCCUAUCGUUAGUUGCCAUCAAGUAAAGUUGGGAACUCUAACGAAACUGCCGGUGCAAACCGAGAGGAAGGUGGGGAUGACGUCAAAUCAUCACGGCCCUUACGUCCUGGGCUACACACGUGCUACAAUGGCCGGUACAGAGAGCAGCCACUUUGCGAAAAGGAGCGAAUCUAUAAAACCGGUCUCAGUUCGGAUCGCAGUCUGCAACUCGACUGUGUGAAGCUGGAAUCGCUAGUAAUCGCAUAUCAGCCAUGAUGCGGUGAAUACGUUCCCGGGCCUU